CAAUAGCGUAUAUUAAAGUUGUUGCGGUUAAAAAGCUCGUAGUUGGAGUUCUGCCAGGUGCCGCCUGUCCGCCCCAGUGGUGAGUACGUGGCGCGCAUUUGGCCCUUUCAAGGGGAGCGUAUCUGCACUUUAUUGUGUGGUGCGGGAUCCUUGACUUUUACUUUGAGGAAAUAGGAGUGUUCCAAGCAGGCUCUCGUCGUGCACAGCUCAGCAUGGAAUAAUAGCAUUGGACCUCGAUUCUAAGCUGUUGGUUGCCAGAAGCGAGGUAAUGAUGAAGAGGGAUAGUUGGGGGCAUUCGUAUUUAACUGUCAGAGGUGAAAUUCUUGGAUUAGUUAAAGACGGACUACUGCGAAAGCAUCUGCCAUGGAUGUUUUCAUUGA
rnacentral:rRNA from 1 species